rnacentral:rRNA from 1 species
UACGUAGGGGGCAAGCGUUGUCCGGAAUCAUUGGGCGUAAAGAGCGUGUAGGCGGCUCGGCAAGUCGGCUGUGAAAGUCCAGGGCUCAACCCUGGGAUGCCGGUCGAUACUGCCGGGCUAGAGUUCGGAAGAGGCGAGUGGAAUUCCCGGUGUAGCGGUGAAAUGCGCAGAUAUCGGGAGGAACACCUAUGGCGAAGGCAGCUCGCUGGGACGUUACUGACGCUGAGACGCGAAAGCGUGGGGAGCAAACAGG